rnacentral:lncRNA from 1 species
AUGUGCACUGAGCUCCAGGAACGAGCUGCAACAGCACCAGCCAGCAAAACAUGCCCGAGAUUAUUUUGCCUAUUUGUUAAACUUCACUGCCAUCUGCUGCUGGAAGGGAACUCGGACCGCAGGCUGGGAAAGUUCAGGCCUCUGACCCUCACUAAGAGCAGCUCAACUAUUCUCCUGCUUAAGCUGAUUGCACCACCUCUCUGUUCCCCAGCAUGCAGCCUUGCUUCAUACACCUGCAGAAGUAAAGGCAGGACAGAAAAGUCCUAUUUGCUCGAAUAAUGCAGGAAUCAGGUGAAGACUCUAUGACUCAGACUUAAUUAGCUGUUUCACAGAUGAUACCUGAGUCAGAAAAUGCCCACUUCGUUCUCCCAGAGAUUAAUUUCUCCUGACUGUAAGAGCUACAGAUGCCCUGAGACUUUCAAAAGAAAAGAUGUGUAACAGUGCUGUCCUGAACAAAUUCCACUGUGAGUAAUUGCUCUGUGUUAGCUUGUGGUCUGCCUGUCCUUGUUUGGACCUUGCAGUGUAUUCCUACACGGAACCAGAGCUGUCCUCGUGGUCUCCAUCCUUCCCACCAGCCAGGACAGCUGCAAAGAAAUCAGAACUCUAGACUCUGGCAGGUCAGAGAUGAAGGUGAAAGUUUUAAAGCAAUUUGCUACUUUUCAGUGCAGCUUUUCUGACUACUCUCAGAUAAAAGCCUACUCUAGGCUUUUAUCAUGAAACUCCAUGAUUCUCCAUCAACAACUCAUUUUCUUCUUGGCAGCUCCUACUCCACAGUCAAAAAUGAUCCAGAACCGUGAUGGUUACUUGAGGUGUGUUAUAUUGAGAACCAUUGUGAGUUCUUAAUAAUGCCAGUCUAGUGAACAUUAGAAGAAAGAAAUUAUUAGGGCCAGAGAAGAGGAUUCUGAACAUUUUUAUUUCCAUUGUACCAAUAUGGUAGCCAUCAUGUACCAGAUAGGAAAACAAACUAGCUUUUGUAUCCAUGUCCAGGGAAGGGCUCUCCCUGGUAGCCUGAAAUUCAAAGUGGGCAGAGUUAGGAACUCUCAAAAUCAAACUUUGCAUAAAGUUUCUCCAAAAUUAAAGAAUCCAGAAUCACAGACUCAGAAAGUCAUAGAGUGGCUUGGGUUGUAAAGGGCCUUAAGGAGCAUCCAUUUCAGACCCCCUGCCGUGGGCUGGUUGCCACCCACCAGAUCAGGCUGCCCAAGGCCCCAUCCAUCAUGGCCCUGAGCACCUCCAGGCAUGUGACAUGCACAACUUUUCUGGGCAGUUUGUUCCAGUUCCUCAUCACUACCCA